rnacentral:rRNA from 1 species
UACGUAGGGCGCAAGCGUUGUCCGGAAUUAUUGGGCGUAAAGAGCUCGUAGGCGGCUUGUCGCGUCGGAUGUGAAAGCCCGGGGCUUAACCCCGGGUCUGCAUUCGAUACGGGCAGGCUAGAGUUCGGUAGGGGAGAUCGGAAUUCCUGGUGUAGCGGUGAAAUGCGCAGAUAUCAGGAGGAACACCGGUGGCGAAGGCGGAUCUCUGGGCCGAUACUGACGCUGAGGCGCGAAAGCGUGGGGAGCAAACAGG